rnacentral:rRNA from 1 species
GACAGAGGUGCCAAGCGUUAGGCGGAAUCACUGGGCUUAAAGCGUGUGUAGGCGGAUCGUUAAGUACCUUGUGAAAUCCCACGGCUCAACCGUGGAACUGCUGGGUAUACUGGCGAUCUUGAGCCACCUAGGGGCGAGCGGAACAAGCGGUGGAGCGGUGAAAUGCGUAGAUAUCGCUUGGAACGCCAAUGGUGAAAACAGCUCGCUGGGGGUGUGCUGACGCUGAGACACGAAAGUCAGGGGAGCGAACGGG